AUGGUUGAAACUGAGAAACAUUUGGUAUUUUGACUGGUAUACAAACUUAUUGAGUUGGCCUUGAUAUUGCCGGUGUCAACGGUAUCUGUUGAAAGAGCUUUUUCAGGAAUGAAGAUUAUCAAGACUAAACUACGUAGCAAGAUCAAUAAUGAAUGGUUCAAUGACUUGUUGAUGAUAAGGAUAUUAUUCGAACAUUUACUGCAAUGA
rnacentral:rRNA from 1 species